rnacentral:rRNA from 1 species
CAGCCGCCGCGGUAAUACAGAGGGUGCGAGCGUUAAUCGGAUUUACUGGGCGUAAAGCGUGCGUAGGCGGCUUUUUAAGUCGGAUGUGAAAUACCUGAGCUUAACUUAGGAAUUGCAUUCGAUACUGGGAAGCUAGAGUAUGGGAGAGGAUGGUAGAAUUCCAGGUGUAGCGGUGAAAUGCGUAGAGAUCUGGAGGAAUACCGAUGGCGAAGGCAGCCAUCUGGCCUAACACUGACGCUGAGGUACGAAAGCAUGGGGAGCAAACAGGAUUAGAUACCCCAGUAGUCCCUGUCUCUUAUAA